UACAUUGUUUAAACAAUAGAGGAAGAAAAUAUUUAUUCACAGAAUAGAAAUAGAUAGAUUGCUGAUGUUUAUCAUAGGUCACCAUUGAUCCACGUGAAUACAUGUUAAACACGAUUUAGUAUCUUUGUUACAUGUGUGAUCCUUGGGUCGGGUAUGGAAAUAAUAGAAGAAAAUUGGCAUUAUUUGAUGGAAAUGUGAAUGGAAAUGAUGUCUGGACGAUGUAAAACUUGAAGAGCAUGUUGAAAAGAGUUCUGAAUGAUGCGACUAUUUAAUGAAAUCGGUUGCUUGCUCAUUCGGCAAAUGGAUUCUCCGUAGAAAAUGGCAUUUGUACAUCUACUAUCCGUGCCAUUCAGAUAUUACAAUGAACCGUAUCUUUGAGCUGGACUUUGCUGUAGAAACUUCAUCAGCAAUGCCAAGGACCUUUUGCCUCUCUGUCUAUGAAACGAUAGUUCUUGUUCACACAGAGUAUGUGAGUCGAGUCACGUCAAGUUCAUCUAUGUUUAGAUCACAAUAACUCUGUUAAAUGCAACAAGAAAUCAACAUCAACAUCUUAUGUUUACUCAUUAAGAAUUUUAUAAUUUCAGAAUCAAUAAUUUUUUAAUAGAAAACAGAAUUUAAUGGUGCAAUUAG